UACGAAGGGUGCAAGCGUUACUCGGAAUUACUGGGCGUAAAGCGUGCGUAGGUGGCUUGUUAAGUCUGAUGUGAAAGCCCUGGGCUCAACCUGGGAACUGCAUUGGAAACUGGCUUACUAGAGUGCGGUAGAGGGGUGCGGAAUUCCCGGUGUAGCAGUGAAAUGCGUAGAUAUGGGGAGGAACACCGGUGGCGAAGGCGGCGACCUGGUCCAUUACUGACGCUGAGGCGCGACAGCGUGGGGAGCAAACAGG
rnacentral:rRNA from 1 species